UCUACGGGAGGCAGCAGUGGGGAAUAUUGCACAAUGGGGGAAACCCUGAUGCAGCGACGCCGCGUGCGUGAAGAAGUAUUUCGGUAUGUAAAGCUCUAUCAGCAGGGAAGAAAAUGACGGUACCUGAUUAAGAAGCCCCGGCUAACUACGUGCCAGCAGCCGCGGUAAUCCGUAGGGGGAAAGCGUUAUCCGGAUUUACUGGGGGUAAAGGGAGCGUAGACGGCUGUACAAGUCUGGAGUGAACUGCCGGGGCUUAACCCCGGAACUGCAUGUGAAACUGGGCAGCUAGAGUGCAGGAGAGGUAAGUGGAAUUCCUGGUGUAGCGGUGAAAUGCGUAGAUAUUAGGAGGAACACCAGUGGCGAAGGCGGCUUACUGGACUGUAACUGACGCUGAGGCUCGAAAGCGUGGGGAGCAAACAGGAUUAGAUACCCCAGUAGUC
rnacentral:rRNA from 1 species